AGGGAUGGGGCAUCCACAGCCUCCUUGGGCAACCUGUUCCAGUGCUUCACCACCUCUUUCCUACAGCUACCUCUAAAGAUUUAUUUUAUUUUGGCUAUAAUGGUGAAAACAAAUUCACUACUCACGUAGGUUAAAGAUCUGAUCAGACAAACUUUAGUACAAAGUGUGUUUUACAUUCAAGCUGUGAACCCUUGGAAAUAGGGGCUUAUAAGGACAUUGCAGACAGAGUGUUCAGCAUUGCAGUGGAGUUGAUGCAAGCAUGGUUGGCUAAAAUAAUCUUGUUUUUAAGAAGCCUCUUAAAAGGAGAUUGAGUGGGUCACCACCAGGUCAAGAGCCUGUGGUUAUGAACAUUACCUUUCAUCCACUGGAAUCAGUCAUCACACAGCCCUGCAUGAUGUCGGGUACAGCCUUGUGUCACCAGUCCUUCAAUAUGAGAUGUCACACUGGCAGCAUAAUUUCAUCAAGCACACUUUGUCUUGGCUAGUUUGAUUUGAUGGCUUGAAAAUAUCAACUUAAUGGGGAGGAGAUGAUCAUCUCUAUAGGAACAGGUAACUACAUAAUGUGUUUUUAAUCAUAUGUAGAUUAAGGUUACAAGGGAAUAUGAUGAUGAUUUAAUCUGGC
rnacentral:lncRNA from 1 species